GAUGAACGCUGGCGGCGUGCCUAAUACAUGCAAGUCGAGCGAACGGACGAGAAGCUUGCUUCUCUGAUGUUAGCGGCGGACGGGUGAGUAACACGUGGAUAACCUACCUAUAAGACUGGGAUAACUUCGGGAAACCGGAGCUACUACCGGCUAAUAUUUUGAACCGCAUGGUUCAAAAGUGAAAGACGGUCUUGCUGUCACUUAUAGCUGGAUCCGCGCUGCAUUAGCUAGUUGGUAAGGUAACGGCUUACCAAGGCAACGAUGCAUAGCCGACCUGAGAGGGUGAUCGGCCACACUGGAACUGAGACACGGUCCAGACUCCUACGGGAGGCAGCAGUAGGGAAUCUUCCGCAAUGGGCGAAAGCCUGACGGAGCAACGCCGCGUGAGUGAUGAAGGUCUUCGGAUCGUAAAACUCUGUUAUUAGGGAAGAACAUAUGUGUAAGUAACUGUGCACAUCUUGACGGUACCUAAUCAGAAAGCCACGGCUAACUACGUG
rnacentral:rRNA from 1 species